CAGUCGUACCGGCGGAUGAUCAGCCUUUCGGGUGCGAUUCUGUGGAGUUAGAGGAGCUUAACACCCUUCAUGCUUUGCAUAUUCGUGCUCUUGGGUGUACUUGCCCGUGUGGUUGGUUAACAUCUAAUUUGGUGGUCAUAAAAUGACUGGAGAAUGUAG
rnacentral:rRNA from 1 species